AGUAAAGUUGUCUAGUAACAAUAUAGAAGUAAAAGGAAGGAAUCUGUACAUUUAAUGUUGAAUUUGAUAUGUAUACAAAGGAGUUGCACCAAAAGGAACAAAUGGCACAAACUACGGAACACCGAACCGGCGACGGAACCUUGAACAGAAGAUCGGGACUCACAGCUUCGAGCGACCUUGUAAACAUAGUGAUUUUGAGGCUAUUUUUAUGAGGUUUGAAGGAGCUGAUCCGUGGAAAAUUUUGCUGCAUUUUUAGUAACAAAUAAGGGCUGAUUUUCGAUGUUUUUUCAGGUAUUUUCGGAUGGUUUUGAACUGGGAUUCAUGGCUGUUUGAGGGCUGAUUCGGGAGCUUUUAUGUGGUAGUAUUUAUGGAGGUUUGGUAGUUGAUCAGUUUAGUUCUGCUUGUCACGACUGGAGCUCGUUAAUCCAGCGAGCUGCCGGAGCUCGUUUCUCCGGCGAGUUUCAGGCAGAAGAAGAAGAGUGAUAACAGUUGUUUAAUUUAGAGCCCUAGGCGUUUGGCUGCUCGAAGAUGAAGACGUCCAAUUUUUUCAUCUAGGGGUCGCUGGUUUUUUUUUUUGUUGCCUUUUUUUUCCAGAUCUGUUCCCUUUUUUAUGUUUUUCAGUUCAUUUCGGUGUCUAGCCAGAAGAAGAGAAAUGGUUGCUAGUUGAUUUUGUUGAAGGUCUAUGCGUGGCUACGCAGCUUUUUUGUCCUCUUUUUGUUAUUAGAGUCUUGGGUCUAUGUAUUUUAGGUGUAGAUAAUAUUAUACAGGAUAUGGAUUAGAUUAGGGUAUGAACCUAUG
rnacentral:lncRNA from 1 species